UACGUAGGGGGCUAGCGUUGUCCGGAAUCAUUGGGCGUAAAGCGCGUGUAGGCGGUUCGGUAAGUCCGCUGUGAAAGUCGAGGGCUCAACCCUCGAAAGCCGGUGGAUACUGUCGGGCUAGAGUGCGGAAGAGGCGAGUGGAAUUCCUGGUGUAGCGGUGAAAUGCGCAGAUAUCAGGAGGAACACCGAUGGCGAAGGCAGGUCUCUGGGCAUUAACUGACGCUGAGGAGCGAAAGCAUGGGGAGCGAACGGG
rnacentral:rRNA from 1 species